CCUACGGGAGGCAGCAGUGGGGAAUAUUGGUCAAUGGGCGCAAGCCUGAACCAGCAACGCCGCGUGAAGGAAGAAGGCUUUCGGGUUGUAAAAUUCUUUUGUCAGGGACGAAGCAAGUGACGGUACCUGACGAAUAAGCCAAGGCGAACUACGAGCCAGCAGCCGCGGUAAUACGGAGGUGGCAAGCGUUAUCCGGAUUUACGGGGUGUAAAGGGCGUGUAGGCGGGGAAGCAAGUCAGAUGUGAAAACCACGGGCUCAACCGGGGAUCUGGAUUUGAAACUGGUUUUCGUGAGUGCUGGAAGGGAGAUCGGAAUUCCGGGUGUAGCGGUGAAAUGCGUAGAUAUACUGAGGAACACCAGUGGCGAAGGCGGAUUGCUGGACAGUAACUGACGCUGAGGCGCGAAAGCGUGGGGAGCAAACAGGAUUAGAUACCCGUGUAGUC
rnacentral:rRNA from 1 species